rnacentral:lncRNA from 1 species
UUAAAAUUAAUAUACAAUAACUAUUAUAUUUUUAUAAAGUUUUAUUAAUAAUAACUAAAACAAAAGAACUGCCUAAACUCAGCCCAGUUGCAGGACAAAAAAAGAGUACAAAGGAGGAGUUAGUCACUUAAAUACAAUCACGCAAAAAGAGAGGACACAGGAAAAGGAAAAAUGAUUCUAGGUAAUACAGAAAAGAAUUUUGGGUAAUGUAAUAGGUUUUUUUGAGGUUCAAGAAUUUCUAACUAUACAUUCCCCCCCAAUGACCAUUUGGGGAGAUUCAUCUCCCCAAUUGAUGAUUUAACAUAAUCAACUUUUAAAUUACAAUAAUUUGGGGAUAAAAGGGGAAAAGAACAAAACCAAUAAUUACUUGGUUGACAAAACCAAUUUUGGGGCAGUGCCCUUUGGCAUAAAAGUAUACAUUCAAAACAAAGGCAUUUCAACCCUCCAUAGUUCAACUCACAUCCUGAAGUUCACUCUGGAUCUUCUGGUGCAGCAUGUGGUUUCUGCUGGCAUCUUCAUGGCACCUUCUGGAUUCUGGGAGGUAGCAAGUAUCUUAUCCUAAAAUUGCUCAAAUUCAAGUCAAAAUUCACAACAAUAACAUAGUCCCUCCCCCCCCCCCAGUAGUGGGAGAGACAGGUGGGGGCUUUGAAAUGCUAGGACCAGGAAACCAGUUGCUGUUGGGGACUGAUUUCUGGGUAGCACCUUCCUUCUUCUUCCAUUUGGCUGGACAACUUUUAUGGAGUCCUGACCUGACCAGAAGAGCUCUGAAGUUCAUCAUAUUGAGGGAGAAUUCUGCAGUGAACAUAGUAUGGAGGGAUCUCAAAUUGGAUGUAUUGUAGAAGUUGGGCAGGCCUAAAUGCCAAAGGUAUAUAGGAAGAUGAAUCUCCCCUCUGAAUCUCAGGAUUAUUCAAGUUAAGCACAAGGACCAUUGCAUCCAGUAACAGUAGUAAGAAAAGACAUUCCAAAACUUUGAGCUUCUUGAGAUAAGUAAUGCACUGCUCUUUCACAGAGUGAGCCAUGCUUUGUAACAAGUUUACUCCUUAAAUAAAAGA